AUGUUUUGAGUGAUUUCGAGAGUUUUGUUGCAGAUUUAUGAGUGAAAUUUUUUGGGUUCAUGAUUAUAGUUGUGUUAAAUACAUGUUGUGAAUUUGAGCUCGAUCUAAUAGUUGAAGUGAGAGAUAUUGAGGUUUAAACGGGCAAGGUCUUAGAAAGUAGAAUUUUAGGUCCAGUGAGGAUUUUUAAGAUUUCAUGCAAUCUACUGGUUGGAUUGGUUUGAUUUAGGAUUUGGAUUAGGAUAUGAUUAGGUUUUGAUUUAGGAUUUGGAUUUAGGAUUUGGAUUAGGAUUUGGAUAUGGUUUAGAGUUUGGUUAGGAUUUGAUUUAGGGUUUGGAUUAGGGUUUGAUUAGUGUUUAAUUUAGGAUUUGGAUUAGGAUUUGGAUUAGGAUUUAGGAUUUGAUUAGGGUUUAGGAUUGGAUUAGGGUUUCGAUUAGGAUUUAGAAUUUGGUUAGGAUUUGAUUUAGAAUUUAGAUUAGGAUUUGGAUUAGGUUUUAGGGUUUGGUUAGGGUUUGAUUUAGAGUUUGGAUUAGGGUUUGAUUAGGAUUUGAUUUAAGAUUUAGUUUAGGAUUUAGGAUUUGGAUUAGAAUUUAGGAUUGGAUUAGAGUUUGGAUUAGGAUUUAGGGUUUGGUAUAGGAUUUUAUUUAAGAUUUAAUUUAAGAUUUGUUUAGGAUUUAUUAAGGUUUAAGAUUUAAUUAAGUUUGGUCUAAAAUUUGAGUGAAAUUCAAUAGGAUUUUAACUAAAAUUAAAUUAAGGUUGAAUUGACAUAUAUUUGAGUAAUAUUUGUGAUCAUUCUAAUAUUUUUUUAAGAAUUUUAUUGUUUGUUUGAAAUUUCUUUGAGUUGUUUUGAAUUUGAUUACAUUUGUUUACCAUUAUUAUACUCUAAUUAGAGCAUUGUUAAUAUUCUAUUAGAAUUAGGAUUUUUUUAUCGCAACUUCUAUUCUUCUUUCUACAGUCAGGUGCUCGGAGCAUUCUCAAGCAAGACUUUACACAUUACGACAAU
rnacentral:lncRNA from 1 species